rnacentral:pre_miRNA from 1 species
UCCCUGAGACCCUAACUUGUGAGGUAUUUCAGUAACAUCACAAGUCAGGCUCUUGGGACCU